UACGUAGGGACCAAGCGUUGUUCGGAUUUACUGGGCGUAAAGAGCUCGUAGGCGGUUUGUCGCGUCGAAUGUGAAAACCCGGGGCUCAACCCCGGGCCUGCAUUCGAUACGGGCAGACUAGAGUUCGGUAGGGGAGUCUGGAAUUCCUGGUGUAGCGGUGAAAUGCGCAGAUAUCAGGAGGAACACCGGUGGCGAAGGCGGGACUCUGGGCCGAUACUGACGCUGAGGAGCGAAAGCGUGGGGAGC
rnacentral:rRNA from 1 species